rnacentral:rRNA from 1 species
GACGAACGCUGGCGGCGUGCUUAACACAUGCAAGUCGAACGGAAAGGCCCUGCUUUUGUGGGGUGCUCGAGUGGCGAACGGGUGAGUAACACGUGAGUAACCUGCCCUUGACUUUGGGGUAACUUCAGGAAACUGGGGCUAAUACCGGCUAGGAGCUCCUGCUGCAUGGUGGGGGUUGGAAAGUUUCGGCGGUUGGGGAUGGACUCGCGGCUUAUCAGCUUGUUGGUGGGGUGGUGGCUUACCAAGGCGUUGACGGGUAGCCGGCCUGAGAGGGUGACCGGCGACAUUGGGACUGAGAUACGGCCCAGACUCCUACGGGAGGCAGCAGUGGGGAAUAUUGCACAAUGGGCGGAAGCCUGAUGCAGCAACGCCGCGUGCGGGAUGACGGCCUUCGGGUUGUAAACCGCUUUCGCCUGUGACGAAGCGUGAGUGACGGUAAUGGGUAAAGAAGCACCGGCUAACUACGUG